UUUUACUAAAGUUAUACGUUAUAUUACAAAAUCAGUUUAAAAUCAAGCACUAGCCAUGUGGUGCACGUGAUUUUAAUCCCAUUUUUAAAAUUUGAUUAUACAUUCGUAUACAUUUGAUGUAGAAAGUAUACCAAAUAAUUAAAAUUAUAUUUUGUUUAUAUAUCAGUCCGACGUGUACGUCUUACUUCCCGGCUUGUUUAACGCGUUUGUAUUUUAAUUCAUAAGUAUUCUUAACAUACUGUUCAUCGCAUGACCAAUCAGUGCACAUGUGUAACUGUAAAAUAAUUGCCAUCAAUUCAUCGUAGUUGUAAAUUCACCGUACGGGUGAACGCUGUUAACCGGACCCCGUUAAUUGAUCGGCAUCUAAUUAUAUUUGUGAUUUCUGUGUGUGUUCAUGCAGAACCUGCUCUGUGAUGAACAUAAUAUUUUCACACCUCUAUAUUUUGAAUAAGAAUAUGACCGUGCUUAGAAUCGCUCAAGACUAACUUGUCAGUAAACUAUAUAUGGCUCUAUCAUAUUUAGUUUGGCAAAAUCAUCAGUACAUGUAAAUAAAAUAUAGUUAAAGACAAAAUCUGAUACAUAUGUCUCAUUAAAACUUGUAAAAUUUCAUUAGACAUUUGUAAACAAAAGGUCGGCCAUUUUUUUUUUUUGGUUAAUCACGUGUUACAAAUACAAUUGUAACAAACACACGCCAAUACUUUGUCGUAUUUAACCAGGUAAUACUGACUCCGACAGUUCUUAUUCAAAAUAAAUAUACAUGUAAAAAGUAUACUAUUCGGUAAAAAAUGAUAAUUUUGAUUAAACAUUAUUUAUUUUAAACUAUCCCAAGAUGCACUUUUCCAAGAUUUAGCGGGUUCUGAUUGGUCAGUAUUGGCGCACUUUAUGAUUCCGAGCGAAGGUUAAAAUGGACAAGAAGGUGCUGUUGUAAAAUGGAGAAUUGAGAAGCAUUAAUAGCCUCUACAACAAGGAGACAAUGCAGGAACGAAGAACUCAUGUCAAGCAUUGACAGCAUACAAAGUCAAUGUUUCCGGUGAUUAGUUGCAUCCUCUGUUCGGUGAUUCGGGUGAAUGUUUUGACCAGCUGGACGAUGUGAACGCAAGAUAAAUAGAACAGACAUGAAGUACAGCCCAGUGAAUGGAACAAGUUCAUUGCAAGAAGAAGAAUUUUAAUGCUACCACUGUCCAGAACUACUAAGUCUGCUGUAGCCAUGAUGUGAUCAUAUGAGUGCUUCACCGGUCUGGACAAUGCUCGAAAGUCCCCCAAAAAGGCCUAUUUCCAUAAACUACGACUCGGGUUACAUCAACAACAGCCAAGGACACUCCUUAUUGAUUCGAAUGGACACAUCUCUACGACCCGACUAAACCUCUGCAGAACAAGACUUUUUAACUGUAAAGUAUUCUCAUUUCAAAAAACCUAUAAACUAUAAAAGUACUUUUUUUUAUAUGAUCAAAAACCAGUAUAUUACAAUGUCUGUCUGUAAGCUAGAAUCUUAGAAAAUCACAUGGUUUUGACUUAUUAAAUGAUUGAUUAGACCUUGCAGAUAUUAACUUUCAUUUUCUUAAAUAAUUUGUUAUAUUUGCAAAUAUUGCAUAAAAUAUUAGACUCCAUGUAACAUAUAUCCUCACACCUCCAAGUUGAUAAGUGUUAACUACUUUUUUUUCCAUUUUCUUUGUUUAAACAUUUAUUGAUAACUUAGUUUUUAUUUGCAGCAAUAUAUGAAAAAUUAAGAAACCAAUCUUAAAUGUAAAAACACUGCAUUAGGAGAUGAAUGCAUGGGUCAUAGAAAUGAUAAAAUACACCAAACAAUAUUCAAUUAUGUCGUAUAUGAAAAUAUAUAAAGACAACAAAUACCCCAUGUAUUACAAUUUUUAUAUAACAAAAUUACUUGGAUGGAAAGUUGUUUCCAUGUGGGUUUUAUUUUAAUCUGUGUUAUGUAACUAAUAUAUAAUUGGAAUUAGCUUUUAUAUCAUAAGUAAAGUGCUGGUAUUGAUGAGAAUUGUAAGGUGAAUGAUCUGUGUGAUACUUUGUAUUUUAUACAUUCAUGCUACAAAAAGCAAGUACAUGUACAUGUAGUAAUACUUGUCGUAUAUAAACAAUGUAUAUUUUACUUCAUGUCUUGGAUUUAAAAAUAUUAAUGUAGGUAAAGUAGUGAAAUGUAGGAAGGUAAACCUGCUCCAUUGUUAGCUUUUUAUUGGCCAACAAGCUUUUCAUAUCUCCCUAUGGGUCAUCUAUUAAAUACUGACAGGCUUAUGAUAUUAAAAUCUGAUCAGUUGGUACAUCAUGGGUGGAAAUGAAAAGUUCACUUUGGACUUAAUGGAUUAUCAAAAAAAUGAUAUAAAAUCCUGUUCUAUUGUAAAACAUUAGAUUAUAUUACUAACAAAGAAAAGGUUUAUCCCAACUUGUAAGUGGGUCACUUUGACCUCAUUUUGGAAUUUAUUGACAUAUUCAAAUCAAAUCUGGCUCAUACCUCUAUAGUCAACUACUAUCUUGUAGUGUAUUUUUUCAAAAAUAUUUUAUGGUGUACAUAUUCAUUGUAGUUCAAAACAAAUUGAGACAAGUGUAUCAUGUUCAUGUAACAGUGAAGUUUUCUUUGUUUAUUCAUGUACGUGCAGUUAUUUUGUAAAUUGCAUUCAUAUUUUUAAAAAAGUAAGAUCUUUGUUGCAUUUUUAAAGGGAGAUUUGAUAGGCAUUUAAUCGAGAUGAAAAGAAAAUACAAAUGUAAAGAUUUCUAUGGGAGUUUUUUUUCUUGUGCAAUUUUAUCAUUUUUAAAUAAAAGUCCCUAAUAAGGGAAUUGCUAUAUGGAUGUUUCUCCAUUAUUGUAUCUUGGCUGUAUUUUAUUUAUUAUUGGAAACAAUUUCAGAUUUUUGAACAAAAUAAAUUAGGAACUGUUUGAAAUUGUUUUGUUUUUACAUAAAGUAGAAACCUUGCUCAGCUUUUGUGAAAGCAAAAAUAUAAAAAGUUUCAGUAAGUUUCAGUUGCGGAAACCCUUUGUAAACAAUAUGUUUCCCAAUUGUAUAUGGAGGUUGAAACUAUGCAGAAACUUCAAGUUUCAGUAAGUUUCCGUCGCGGAAACCAUUUGUAAACAAUAUGUAUCCCAAACGUAUAUGGAGAUUGAAACUAUGCAGAAACUUCAAGUUUCAGUAAGUUUCCGUUGCGGAAACCAUUUGGAUUCAUGGACAGCCUAAGUUUCAGCACUGCGGAAACUUAAUGAAACUUGAAGUUUCCGUGCUGAAACCUGUCGGAAACUUAAAGUAACCUUAAGUUUCCGCAGAGUUUCCAAAGGGUUUCCGCAGCGCUGAAACCAGAUAUUUCAUCCAGUGCAUCUA